rnacentral:rRNA from 1 species
CUACGGGGGGCUGCAGUGAGGAAUAUUGCACAAUGGGGGGAACCCUGAUGCAGCAACGCCGCGUGGAGGAUGACGCAUUUCGGUGUGUAAACUCCUUUUAUAUGUCAAGAAAAUGACGGUAGCAUAUGAAUAAGCAUCGGCUAACUCCGUGCCAGCAGCCGCGGUAAUACGGAGGGUGCAAGCGUUACUCGGAAUCACUGGGCGUAAAGGACGCGUAGGCGGGUUGGAAAGUCAGGUGUGAAAUCCUACAGCUUAACUGUAGAACUGCACUUGAAACUUCUAAUCUAGAGUAUGGGAGGGGGAGAUGGAAUUAGUGGUGUAGGGGUAAGAUCCGUAGAUAUCACUAGGAAUACCUAAAGCGAAGGCGAUCUCCUGGAACAUUACUGACGCUAAGGCGUGAAAGCGUGGGGAGCAAACAGGAUUAGAUACCCGGGUAGUC